GACAGAGGGUGCAAACGUUGUUCGGAAUUACUGGGCGUAAAGCGCGUGUAGGCGGCCCUGUAAGUCGGGUGUGAAAUCCCACGGCUCAACCGUGGAAGUGCACUCGAAACUACAGGGCUAGAGUCCUGGAGAGGAAGGUGGAAUGCUUGGUGUAGAGGUGAAAUUCGUAGAUAUCAAGCGGAACACCGGUGGCGAAGGCGGCCUUCUGGACAGUCGACUGACGCUGAGACGCGAAAGCGUGGGGAG
rnacentral:rRNA from 1 species